rnacentral:lncRNA from 1 species
CCGGAGCGGAGCUGCACUUCACGCCGAAGUUUCCCCUUCGAAUCGUCUGGAGUUGCCACUUUGGAGGCAGAUUCUCCAGCCUUGGUCAGGCCUUCAGAUGACUGCAGCCCUGGCUGAUGACUUGACUGCCACCUCAUGAGAGACCUUGAGCCAGAACCACCCAGCCAAGCCACUCCUGGAUUCCUGAUCCACAGAAACUAGGUGAAACGUCAAGAAUGACUAAAAGCCAACAUUCAAGAAGACAGCAUCUGCAAACAAGUGUUGAUCCCAAGUGUAAUCCUAGGGAACCCGACUUAAGGCCUCCCCAUCUGAAGAACACAAUCUCAAGGAAGAAUUUAAGGGGAAACCUGUCUACACAGUUUGACUUUCUGUAA